GUCUGGGAAACUGCCUGAUGGAGGGGGAUAACUACUGGAAACGGUAGCUAAUACCGCAUAAUGUCGCAAGACCAAAGUGGGGGACCUUCGGGCCUCAUGCCAUCAGAUGUGCCCAGAUGGGAUUAGCUAGUAGGUGGGGUAAUGGCUCACCUAGGCGACGAUCCCUAGCUGGUCUGAGAGGAUGACCAGCCACACUGGAACUGAGACACGGUCCAG
rnacentral:rRNA from 2 species